rnacentral:lncRNA from 1 species
AAAAACACCCCGAAAAAAUAAUACCCGAAUAAAAAUUACCUUUUACUAGCUAAAAUUUACCAUUUUUACCGUAGUCGUAUUUUCCUCAUACGAAUAAUCCUCCGCACAUAAUCGUUCCCGAAACCCCUCUAGGGACCAAUUAAACUAUUUACUCAAUGAUCGAGACGGUAAAAUUCUUAUUAUAAUCACGCUAGUAAAUAAGGUAAAAAUAUAAGGGUCGGGAUGUGACAUCGGGUGCGUGGUGAGGGAGGUGAAGCAAUUUUGAUAAGGGAGGAGUAGGUACAGUGAGGGAAGGCGCAUGGUAAGAGAGUAGAUCCGGUGUGUGAGGGUGCAUGGCUCUGCGGUAGGUGUAGUUGUAUUUUUGUAGCUGAUAGGUAGCUUGAUUAUUCGUGUUGUAGUUUUGACUGAUUAUUGGCAGUUAAUAACUCGAUUAUAUUUUGGUAUUUCUUCUUUUCUGUUACAAUAAGCUAAAAUAAGUUGAUUAUUGGGGGUCAGUAACUGGUUAUUGGGGUCAGGAACCAAGUUAUUGGGGGUCAAUAACCGAUUGGGAGUCAGUAACUGAGUUACUGGGGGUCGGUAACCAAGUUAUUGGUUACCGAAAUCCAGCGAUCGAAGAAAAUCUGAGUUACUGGGGGUUGGUGAUCGGAAUUCGGCGACCGGAAAAAAUCCGGCAACCGGUGACCGGAAUCCGAUUACCGGUGACUGGACAACAGUGAGGCUCCGGCAAAGUCUUCUCUCUCUCUCUCUAUGCAUAUUUCAGAGAUGAGGGUAAAAUAGUCUUAAAAUAAUAUAGUUUGCUAAUUUGUGCAUUUGGACAUAAAAAAUGUUACCUUAUAUUGGAAUGGGCUCAUGAAAAAGAUUCUCAUUGUAAUAGGAAAUGAGGGGUUUAAAUUAGUACUAAAUUGGCAUUUUUCCUUACAUGAACGAGGACAAAUUGUCUAUUUAAUCAAAAUCUGAAAAUUUACAAUUUUGACAACACAUUCGUCUUUAAUUUUGUAAAAUGGGUCAUAAAUAUGUAAAUUUGGUUCACACUUCGUAAUUACAAGUUUACAACAUAAGGACAUUUAUUUCAAAAGUUUUAACCAAAGGUCUUAUGUUUAAGUAAAAAAAAAAAAAGUUAAAAAAACCACAAUAUAGAAAACUGGCGAUGGGUACUCUAGAAUUUUCCAUUAAAAUUCGUUACAAACAAAAUUUUAUAUCAUUGCGACGAUCCCAAUGAGAUCUUUCAUAUGUGACCCAUAUCGAAUAUAUUUAUAUAAAAUAUUUUUCACGAUUAAUUAUUGAAUUAAACAAAUAUAUGACAAAAGAAAGAAAGAAAAAAAGGUUUUACCUUAAGAUUUAGCUUACGGUGAGAGUGUUUCUUAAGCGAAAAUACUAUUAAUUUAGCUAAGGAUUUAGCUUAUGGUGGGAGUAUUGGAAAAUUCUACAUUACCCACCGGUUUUCUAUACUGUGGUUUUUUUUAAUAUUUUUUACAAACAUAAGAUCAUUUAGUUAAAAAUUUUAUAAUAAAUAUCCAUAUUUUGUAAUUACGAAGUAUGAACCAAAUUUACAUAUUUAUGACAAUCUUUUACAAAAUUGAGGAUGAAUGUG